GGGAAUGUGGCUUAGUGGUACAGUGCUUGCCUAGCAUGCAUGAAGCCCUGGGUUCAAUUCCCCAGUACUA
rnacentral:tRNA from 1 species